AGCAGCCGCGGUAAUUCCAGCUCCAAUAGCGUAUAUUAAAGUUGUUGCAGUUAAAAAGCUCGUAGUUGAAUUUCGGGAUUUGUCAGUUGGUCGGGCUUCACUGUCCGUACUGGCUUGAUGGAUUCUUACCUUCUGAAUAACCAGCAUGCUAUUAAGUUAGUGCGUUGGGGAAGCAGAUCUAUUACCUUGAAAAAAUUAGAGUGCUUAAAGCGGGCUUGUGCUUGAAUAGAUUAGCAUGGAAUAAUAAAAUAGGACGGCAUGGUUCUAUUUUGUUGGUUUCUAGGAUCACCGUAAUGAUUAAUAGGGAUAGUUGGGGGCAUUAGUAUUCAAUUGUCAGAGGUGAAAUUCUUGGAUUUAUUGAAGACUAACUUCUGCGAAAGCAUUUGCCAAGGAUGUUUUCAUUAAUCAAGAACGAAAGUUAGGGGAUCGAAGACGAUCAGAUACCGUCGU
rnacentral:rRNA from 1 species